rnacentral:rRNA from 1 species
UACGUAGGGUGCAAGCGUUGUCCGGAAUUAUUGGGCGUAAAGAGCUCGUAGGCGGUUUGUCGCGUCGAAUGUGAAAACCCGGGGCUCAACCCCGGGCCUGCAUUCGAUACGGGCAGACUAGAGUGCUGUAGGGGAGACUGGAAUUCCUGGUGUAGCGGUGAAAUGCGCAGAUAUCAGGAGGAACACCGGUGGCGAAGGCGGGUCUCUGGGCCGAUACUGACGCUGAGGAGCGAAAGCGUGGGGAGCGAACAGG